ACUUCGAAAAGAGUUGAUCCUGGCUCAAGGUGAUCGCUGGCUGCAUGCUUAACACAUGCAAGUCGGACGAAUAUGGUGUAAGGAUCGACCUUCUUGUAUAAGUGGCGGACGGGUGAGUAACACGUGAGAAUCUACCUUUUAUAUAUUUAAUUAAAAACAAAUGAAGUUUUGUUAUUUUUGAUGUGAUUAAUUAAAUAUAAGAGUUUAACUUAAUAAUUAAAUUUUGUAGAGGGAUAACAUCGGGAAACCGCUUAUUAAUACCUCGUAUAGCUGAAGAGUUAUAGCGGUCUAUAAAAACGGCGACUUGAGAUGAGCUUGCGGCUGAUUAGCUAGUUGGUGAGGUAAAGGCUUACCAAGGCCACGAUCAGUAUCUGGUUUGAGAGAAUGACCAGACACACUGGGACUGAGAUACGGCCCAGACUCCUACGGGAGACAGCAGUGGCUAAUAUUUCACAAUGGGCGAAAGCCUGAUGAAGCAAUGCCGCGUGGAGGAUUAAGAUCUAUUGAUUGUAAACUCCUUUUAUCGGGGAAGAAAAACUGACGUUACCUGAGGAAUAAGAAUCGUCUAACUUUGUGCCACGAGACACGGUAAUACAGGGGAUUCAAGCGAUACCUGGUAUGAUUGGGCGUAAAGGGUCUGUAGGCGGUUACACAAGUUUAAUGUAAAAGACUUAGGCUUAACCAAAGGGUUGCAUUAAAAACUAUGUUACUAGAGUUCGGAAGAAGUAGAGGGAAUUCCUAAAGGAACAGUGAAAUGUGUAGAUAUUAGGAGGAACACCAGAGGCGAAAGCGCUCUACUAGGACGAAACUGACGCUGAGAGACGAAAGCUAUGGUAGCGAACAAGAUUAGAUACCUUGGUAGUCAUAGCUGUANNCGAUGGAAACUAAGUAGGGGGACACCUCUGCUGUACGUAACGCGUUAAGUUUCCCGCCUGGGGAGUACGUUCGCAAGAAUGAAACUCAAAGGAAUUGACGGGAACCUGCACAAUCGGUGGAUCAUGUGGUUUAAUCUGAUGCAACACGAAGAACCUUACCAGGUUUUGACAUACCCAGAAUGCCCUAGAAAUAGGGUAGUGUUUAUAGAUUAAGUCUAUAAAAACUGGGCUACAGGUGGUGCAUGGCUGUCGUCAGCUCGUGCGUUGACGUGUACGGUUAAGUCCUUCAACGAGCGCAACCCUCGUCUUUAGUUAUUUACUCUAAAGAGACUGCAAACGUAAGUUUGAGGAAGGUGGGGAUUACGUCAAGUCAUCAUGCCCCUUAUAACCUGGGCUACACACGUGAUACAAUGGUUGGGACAAUGAGAAGCAACUCCGCGAGGAUUAGCGAAUCUACAAACCCAGCCCCAGUUCGGAUUGCAGGCUGCAACUCGCCUGCAUGAAGGUGGAUCGAUAGUAAUCGCCAGUCAGCUAUAUGGCGGUGAAUACGUAACCAGGUUUUGUACACACCGCCCGUCACACUCCGAAAGGAAAGGGGGUCUAAGUACCUUUAUUAACCGAAAGGAGGUAAUGGUACAAAGCCUCUAUCUCUGAUUGGAGUGAAGUCGUAACAAGGUAAUGGUUCCAGAAGGAGCUGUUGGAUAACAUACAAA
rnacentral:rRNA from 1 species